rnacentral:sRNA from 1 species
ACAACAUCCUGAGAACUCUGUUUUUUCUUUAAUAAUUAUUAUUUCAAUUAUAACUGCCAAAGUUAUAAAUUUCUUUCUGAAAUGUAUUUAUUUGUUUUGCUGUGCCUGG